CAAUAGCAUAUAUUAACGUUGUUGCAGUUGAAAAGCUCGUAGUUGAACUUUUGGUAGGAGCGACCUGGCCUUGGGCGCAUGCCCUUGUUUGCCGUGUGUCGUAUCUGGCCAUCCUUUUCUUCUUUUUGGAAGGAAUCUUUUACUGUGAGUAAACUGGAGUGCUCAAAACAAGACGUUUGUUUGGUACAUUAAAGCAUGGAAUAAUAAGAUAGGACCUGGUUACUAUUUUGUUGGUUUGCAUAGCUAGGUAAUGAUUAACAGGGACAGUUGGGGGUAUUCGUAUUUAAUUGUCAGGGGUGAAAUUCUUGGAUUUAUGAAAGACGAACGACUGCGAANGNAUUUACNAAGGAUGUUUNCAUUA
rnacentral:rRNA from 1 species